rnacentral:rRNA from 1 species
GCAGAUCCAUUUUCUGCCACCGAAUACAUUAGCAUGGGAUAAUGGAAUAGGACCCUGUCCUCCUAUUUUCAGUUGGUUUUGGCAGCGCGAGGACUAGGGUAAUGAUUAAUAGGGAUAGUUGGGGGCAUUAAUAUUUAAUUGUCAGAGGUGAAAUUCUUGGAUUUAUGAAAGAUUAACUUCUGCGAAAGCAUCUGCCAAGGAUGUUUUCAUUAAUCAAGAACGAAAGUUAGGGGAUCGAAGACGAUCAGAUACCGUCGUAGUCUUAACCAUAAACGAUGCCGACCAGCGAUUAGGAGACGUUGAAUACAAAACACCACCAUCGGUGCGGUCGUCCUUGGCGUCGGUCUUUCGGGGCCGGCGCGGGGGCGGCUUAGCCCGGUGGCACCGGUGAAUGACUCCCCUAGGCUGUGG